ensembl:misc_RNA Y_RNA Y RNA
GGCUGGUCCGAAGGUAGUGUGUUAUCUCUCUUGAUUAUUCACAGUCAGUUACAGAUUGAACUCCUUGUUUUAUUCUAUCCCACCUUCUCACUACUGCACUUGACUAGUCUUAA